rnacentral:lncRNA from 1 species
AUUUUCAUUUGGUAAUGAAAGACAAGAGAUGGAUUAGGAUGAUCUGAAACAUUGUUAAUUGGUGCCUCUUUUUUUAAUAUAUAUUAAAGGCAUCCCAUUUAAGCCAACAUAGUCCGUGUAUUUGAAUUAUGAUUCAAACAUUUUUGUUUCCCCUCUUUUUUCCCCCAAUAAAUCACCUCCUUGUUUUCAACAAUAACCAAAGAUACACCAGUCCUCCAAAAGACAAAGGCACGUGGAGAAAAGGUAUUCCAAGCAUCAUGAGGAAAACACUUGAGAAAAAGCCAACUGCUGUAGGAACCUUUGCAUGACUACUGGAUGACUACUCCUGGCUCAUACAAAUCAGUUCAACCUCUCUCAGCAUCAACCGUCGCCAUCUUCGAGAUUUCGCGAGCCCCAAGGAAAGCGAAAUCUAAGAACCGGACCGUUAAAAUCAACGAGAGCGCUCUUCCCAGACCACUCAGAUCUCACCCUUCUCGAUGGUCGCUUGGAUCCCGGAGAGCCCCUAAAUUAUUGUAAAGAAGACCCCAAACUCGGUUCCCAAGACUGGUGUCUCAAAGACUUUUUAUUAAAGAGGUUGAAAGUCUUUUAUUUCUCACAACAAAUACCUCAUUUGCUCCUAACAAACCUGGGAGGGUAGGUGCUAUUAUCAUCCCCAUUUUACAGUUGAGGAAACUGAGGCAGACCAAGGUUAAGUGACUUAAGAUCACACACCAGGUUUGAAUUCAGGUCUUCAUGACUGCACAUCCAGUGCUCUACCUGCUGUACCACUUAGCUGUUAAUUGGUGAAUUCCUGACUGGGAGCACUACUUCAGGAAGUGUCUGUCCGUCCAGGCUCACUCUCUCCUGGCUCUGCUUCUGUACCCACAGGGUGCUCUCACCUCACUUUUACAGCUCCCAUGUUUGUGCUGUUUUCCCUCAUUACCUUUAGGGCAAGGACUUUUUUUUUUUUGCUUGUAUUUGUAUAACUAGAACUUAGCACAGUGCUUGGGACAUAGUAAAUACUUAAUAAAUGUCAAAUCUAUGUGUCA